rnacentral:rRNA from 1 species
GGGAGGUAGUGACAAUAAAUCACAAUGCGGAACAAUGUUUUGCAAUUGGAUUGAGAACAACGUACAAACCUUAUCGAUAAACAAUUGGAGGGCAAGUCUGGUGCCAGCAGCCGCGGUAAUUCCAGCUCCAAUAGCGUAUAUUAACGUUGUUGCAGUUAAAAAGCUCGUAGUUGAAAUGAAGGGUAGUUGUGUAAUGAAUACAUUCGUGUAUUUUGUUAUUCAACUACCCUCCUUCUAAAUUCGAUAUAUGAGUAUUAAUUUACUUGUAUAUGGUUUUAGACCUUUACUGUGAGAAAAUUAGAGUGUUCAAAGCAGGCAUUUGCUUGAAUAUAUUAGCAUGGAAUAAUCAUGUAUGAUUUUCAUGAUGUAUUUGAUUGGUUUGGUUCAUGAGAAUAAGAUUAAAAGGGACAGUUGGGGGUAUUCAUAUUCAAUAGUCAGAGGUGAAAUUCUCGGAUUUAUGGAAGAUGAACAAGUGCGAAAGCAUUUACCAAGGAUGUUUU